AAUAGAUACCCCGGUAGUCCACCCCGUAAACGUUGGGAACUAGUUGUGGGGUCCUUUCCACGGAUUCCGUGACGCAGCUAACGCAUUAAGUUCCCCGCCUGGGGAGUACGGCCGCAAGGCUAAAAACUCAAAGGAAUUGACGGGGACCCGCACAAGCGGCGGAGCAUGCGGAUUAAUUCGAUGCAACGCGAAGAACCUUACCAAGGCUUGACAUACACCGGAAACGGCCAGAGAUGGUCGCCCCGCAAGGUCGGUGUACAGGUGGUGCAUGGUUGUCGUCAGCUCGUGUCGUGAGAUGUUGGGUUAAGUCCCGCAACGAGCGCAACCCUCGUUCUAUGUUGCCAGCACGUAAUGGUGGGAACUCAUGGGAUACUGCCGGGGUCAACUCGGAGGAAGGUGGGGAUGACGUCAAAUCAUCAUGCCCCUUAUGUCUUGGGCUUCACGCAUGCUACAAUGGCCGGUACAAAGGGCUGCAAUACCGUGAGGUGGAGCGAAUCCCAAAAAGCCGGUCCAGUUCGGAUUGAGGUCUGCAACUCGACCUCAUGAA
rnacentral:rRNA from 1 species